AUUGAACGCUGGCGGCAGGCCUAACACAUGCAAGUCGAGCGGAUGAGUGGAGCUUGCUCCAUGAUUCAGCGGCGGACGGGUGAGUAAUGCCUAGGAAUCUGCCUGGUAGUGGGGGACAACGUUUCGAAAGGAACGCUAAUACCGCAUACGUCCUACGGGAGAAAGUGGGGGAUCUUCGGACCUCACGCUAUCAGAUGAGCCUAGGUCGGAUUAGCUAGUUGGUGAGGUAAAGGCUCACCAAGGCGACGAUCCGUAACUGGUCUGAGAGGAUGAUCAGUCACACUGGAACUGAGACACGGUCCAGACUCCUACGGGAGGCAGCAGUGGGGAAUAUUGGACAAUGGGCGAAAGCCUGAUCCAGCCAUGCCGCGUGGAGGAUGACUGCCCUCUGGGUUGUAAACUCCUUUUGUACGGGAGAAACCUCUCCAUUUAUGGGUGAGCUGACGGUACCGUAAGAAUAAGCACCGGCUAACUCCG
rnacentral:rRNA from 1 species